rnacentral:rRNA from 1 species
UCUGGUGGCGAUAGCGAAGAGGUCACACCCGUUCCCAUGCCGAACACGGAAGUUAAGCUCUUCAGCGCCGAUGGUAGUUGGGGGCUCUCCCCCUGUGAGAGUAGGACGCCGCCAGGC